CCUGCUAUAAUCAUUCUUGUUCAGGUUUUUGCCUGGGCAUAAGUUUUCUCUUUACUUGGAUAAAUUACCAAAGAGCACAACUGCUGGAAUAUAUGGUAAAAGGUUGCUUGGUUUUGUAAGAAACUACCUAAAUGUCUUCCAAAGUGAGCACCAGAAGUGAAUGAGAGUUCCUGAUCCUCUACAUCCUCCCCAGCAUUUGGUGUUGCCAGUGUUUCAGAUUUCAAUCAUCUUAAUAGGUGUGGAGCGGUAUCUCAUCGUUUUAAUUUGCAAUUAGCUAAUAGCAUGUGCUGAUGAACAACUUUUCUUAUGCUUAUUUGUCAUCUGUAUAUCUUUGAUGAGGUGUCUAUUCAGGUCUUUUGGCCAUUUUUCAAUAAAAAUAAUUUUAUUUUUUCAUUUUUAACCAUUAAAUUUAUGUUUUUAUGAAAAUAUAUUCAAGUUUUAUUGACUGAAUACAAUUACAUUUCACUUUUAAAUUACUGUCAACAGAACAGAGGGUUUGUGAAAAAUCUUAAGAUAACAGUUAAUGAUUGUAUUAAACUCAAGGCAAGAAAAAUAAAUUUUAUGAAAAAAUUAUCUAAUAACUUAUGUGUAUCCUUAUUUUAUUAUUGAUCUAAAUGUCACUGGCACAUGAAUAGAGCAGCCAGAUAUUUACAAAAUUAUAUAAUUAUCUUUAAUAUUUUGCAAAUAUUCAAUCACUUAAAAAUUAUAACUUCACACACAGCUGUCAUAAAGGUCAAUUUUCAAAGUAGAAGGAUAAAGUAUUUGUUGAAUGGUUUGAUAGUUUUAGUUAUAAUGUUUGUGUAUUUCCACAUGUGAUAUGAGGGCAUCCAUUUUUACUCUGCCUUGGGUUCCCCAAGUGUUGUGGGUGGGACUAGACCCUAUUCUUUCCCACUGGAUAAGAUGAUGUGUUGUGCAACAAAUUCUACCACCCCAGGGGCUUCUAAAUGAAAAUUCAAUAAGACUUCUUUCCUCUCAUUACAUUCCUCUGCUGAGGCUGUGAGUACAGAGCCUGACAUCUGCUCUGUACUCACAGCAGGAACACGGAGAAUACAGAAACGCAAAGUUGUUUUUAAAGAGGAACAUGGAGAAUACAGAAACGCAAAGUUGUUUUUAAAGAGGAUUACCAUGUAUAAACACUAUCUUACCAUACAUUGAUAAAGGUGUGAGCAGUACUCCAUGGGAGCACAGAGGAGCAGUAGCUGUGAACACUCCACACACAAUCAAUUUAAAGACAUCCUCCUGUUGUGAGUUUGGGGUAAGGAUUUUUGUUUUGUUUUGUUUUGUUUUGUCUUGUCUUUCUAGGGCUGUGCAGGCAGCAUAUGGAAGUUCCCAGGCUAAAGGUCUAAUUGAAGCUGCAACUGCUGGCCUACACCGUAGCCACAGCAACACCAGAUCCAAGCCAUGUCUGCGACCUAUACCACAGCUCAUGGCAACGCCGGAUCCUUAACCCACUGAGCAAUACCAGAGAUUGAACCCAUGCCCUCAUGGAUACUAGUCAGGUUUGUUAUCAUUGAGCCACGAUAGGAACUCCAAGUUGGGGUAAGUUUUUAAGUAAACUGUUAAUUUAUGGGUGAUAGGUCCUAAAUCCUGUGAUGGCCCUGCACCAAAGAGGACAAGAGAUGAAUCAGUCACAACUAGAUAAUAAAAUAAUGAGAUAUGUCCAUGUGUAUGUACAUAGACAUGUUUCAAUUAUAAAUAUUUGUAUUUUUGAAGGUGUCUCCAUCAGCAUAUGUUACUACUCAAGUUGUAAAAUCAAGAGUUUGGAAAUUGAUGCAGUGAGGAAGUGUGUCAGCAUGUGGUCUACAGCCUACCUGGUGCAGAGUGGAGGGUUCAGGGCACACCACAGCAGAGUAUGUGGAGGUGUGUCUCGAGAGUGCAUUUCUGUAACAAGCUGCCUCAUUCUUGUGCACAGUAAAGUUGGAAAACCAUUGUAUAUAAGGUUUAAGGAAGAUUGUUCUGCUGCACUGUGGAGAAAGGAAAAGAGAACCAAAAAA
rnacentral:lncRNA from 1 species